rnacentral:rRNA from 1 species
GCUCAGAUUGAACGCUGGCGGCAGGCCUAACACAUGCAAGUCGAGCGGAUGAGAGGAGCUUGCUCCUUGAUUAGCGGCGGACGGGUGAGUAAUGCCUAGGAAUCUGCCUGGUAGUGGGGGAUAACGUUCCGAAAGGAACGCUAAUACCGCGUACGUCCUACGGGAGAAAGCAGGGGACCUUCGGGCCUUGCGCUAUCAGUGAGCCUAGGUCGGAUUAGCUAGUUGGUGAGGUAAUGGCUCACCAAGGCGACGAUCCGUAACUGGUCUGAGAGGAUGAUCAGUCACACUGGAACUGAGACACGGUCCAGACUCCUACGGGAGGCAGCGUGGGGAAUAUUGGACAAUGGGCGAAAGCCUGAUCCAGCCAUGCCGCGUGUGUGAAGAAGGUCUUCGGAUUGUAAAGCACUUUAAGUUGGGAGGAAGGGCAGUAAGUUAAUACCUUGCUGUUUUGACUUACCGACAGAAUAAGCACCGGCUAACUUCGUGCCAGCAGCCGCGGUAAUACGAAGGGUGCAAGCGUUAAUCGGAAUUACUGGGCGUAAAGCGCGCGUAGGUGGUUCGUUAAGUUGGAUGUGAAAGCCCGGGCUCAACCUGGGAACUGCAUCCAAAACUGGCGAGCUAGAGUACGGUAGAGGGUGGUGGAAUUUCCUGUGUAGCGGUGAAAUGCGUAGAUAUAGGAAGGAACACCAGUGGCGAAGGCGACCACCGGACUGAUACUGACACUGAGGUGCGAAAGCGUGGGGAGCAAACAGGAUUAGAUACCCUGGUAGUCCACGCCGUAAACGAUGUCAACUAGCCGUUGGAAUCCUUGAGAUUUUAGUGGCGCAGCUAACG